UUUUAAUUGCAAUAAAUGCUUCCUCAAGUUUGGACCAAUCAACUAUGUGGACAAUGGAUUUGUAAAGACUGUUUUAAUCAUCAGGACGACACGUCGUAAACAACAUCUCUAAAAAUGAACACAGAAGAGAACACCGUUCAGAUGAGUUGCUGUGAAACUUGGGUACAUGCUUAAAGAGAUAUGACAGACAUUAACUGAUAGACUGGAGUCAUGUG